CCCUUAGAUGUCCUGGGCCGCACGCGCGUUACACUGAUGCAUUCAACGAGCAUAUAACCUUGGCCGAGAGGCCUGGGUAAUCUUGUUAACAUGCAUCGUGAUAGGGAUAGAUUAUUGCAAUUAUUAAUCUUGAACGAGGAAUUCCUAGUAAUCGCAGUUCAUCAAACUGCAAUGAUUACGUCCCUGCCCUUUGUACACACCGCCCGUCGCUCCUACCGAUUGAAUGGUCCGGUGAAGCGUUCGGACCGUGGCCUUUGGACGGUUCGCCGUCUGUUGGCUGCGGGAAGUUCGUUAAACCUUAUCAUUUAGAGGAAGGAGAAGUCGUAACA
rnacentral:rRNA from 1 species